CCUAAAUUCCAAAACCCCAAACGGCGCCACCCCUCCUCCGCCUCUCUGUCGCUGCUCAACUCGCCCGAACUUGCCUGAACUCAGGUGAGUUCACCCCCAAACUCGUGCAUGUGAUCCCUCCUAUCUCCCUCCUCCACGUCACCUGUCCCGUAACAACUCCUUCUGUACUGCUGUUUUUUAUGCUGCUCUGUUAAACUUGGCUUCAUACCUGGUUUUCUGACCUUUAUUUGGUCCUUUAUUUGUUAUUUCCUGUCAUUAGCCAUUUAGCGGUUGUGCAUGACAGAGCCGAUUAAUAAGAGUAGCCCAGUGGCUAUUUUCUUAUAAAUCAGAGGUCUGCCCGAAGGAACGAGAGGCGUAUGAUUCAAGAAUAGCAAUGGUCGUGCAAGAUAAUGUGAUGGAAUCAUGGAAUGCGUUAAACUAGCUUUAGAUUGUUGAAAUUUGUAAUCUGAAUCCCAAGCUCAGUUACUGUACAUGAUUGUUAAAUUCUUGACCCUAUGCCUUCAUGAAAUAUACAUAGUUGUCGAUAAUGAAUUGUAUUUGUUUACUUGAAAUUUUUCAUUAUUAUUGACAAAAUCAGUGUAUAGAUCCAUAUGUCUUUGAGUUCA